GACGACGCUGGCGGCGUGGAUUAGGCAUGCAAGUCGAACGGUAGGGUUCCUUCGGGGACCUGAGAGUGGCGAACGGGUGAGUAACACGUAGGUAAUCUACCCUCAAAUCGGGGACAACCCAGGGAAACUUGGGCUAAUACCGGAUGAGUGCGCUUUCGGGUGCAUAAAAGGUGGCGUAAGCUGCUGUUUGGGGAUGAGCCUGCGCUCUAUUAGUUAGUUGGUGAGGUAACGGCUUACCAAGGCGAUGAUAGAUAGGCGGCCUUAACGGGUGGUCGCCCACACUGGGAUUGAGAUACGGCCCAGACUCCGUACGGGAGGCAGCAGUCGAGAAUAGUCUACAAUGGACGAAAGUCUGAUAGUGCGACGCCGCGUGAACGAAGAAGCCCUUCGGGGUGUAAAGUUCUUUUAUAUGUGAGCAAUGCUUCCUAGGUGAAUAGUUUAGGGAGAGAGAUAUUAGCAUAUGAAUAAGCAACGGCUAACUCCGUG
rnacentral:rRNA from 1 species